CCUACGGGAGGCAGCAGUGGGGAAUAUUGGACAAUGGGGGCAACCCUGAUCCAGCCAUGCCGCAUGUGUGAAGAAGGCCCUCGGGUUGUAAAGCACUUUCAGUGAGGAAGAACGCCUGGUGGUUAAUACCCAUCAGGAAAGACAUCACUCACAGAAGAAGCACCGGCUAACUCCGUGCCAGCAGCCGCGGUAAUACGGAGGGUGCGAGCGUUAAUCGGAAUUACUGGGCGUAAAGCGCGCGUAGGUGGCUUGAUAAGCCGGUUGUGAAAGCCCCGGGCUCAACCUGGGAACGGCAUCCGGAACUGUCAAGCUAGAGUGCAGGAGAGGAAGGUAGAAUUCCCGGUGUAGCGGUGAAAUGCGUAGAGAUCGGGAGGAAUACCAGUGGCGAAGGCGGCCUUCUGGACUGACACUGACACUGAGGUGCGAAAGCGUGGGUAGCAAACAGGAUUAGAUACCCGUGUAGUC
rnacentral:rRNA from 1 species